GACGAACGCUGGCGGCGUGCUUAACACAUGCAAGUCGAACGGAAAGGCCCUGCUUUUGUGGGGUGCUCGAGUGGCGAACGGGUGAGUAACACGUGAGUAACCUGCCCUUGACUUUGGGAUAACUUCAGGAAACUGGGGCUAAUACCGGAUAGGAGCUCCUGCUGCAUGGUGGGGGUUGGAAAGUUUCGGCGGUUGGGGAUGGACUCGCGGCUUAUCAGCUUGUUGGUGGGGUAGUGGCUUACCAAGGCUUUGACGGGUAGCCGGCCUGAGAGGGUGACCGGCCACAUUGAGACUGAGAUACGGACCAGACUCCUACGGGAGGCAGCAGUGGGGAAUAUUGCACAAUGGGCGGAAGCCUGAUGCAGCAACGCCGCGUGCGGGAUGACGGCCUUCGGGUUGUAAACCGCUUUCGCCUGUGACGAAGCGUGAGUGACGGUAAUGGGUAAAGAAGCACCGGCUAACUACGUG
rnacentral:rRNA from 1 species